rnacentral:RNase_P_RNA from 1 species
GAAGCAAACUGGUUCUAUCGCUGCUCUUUUUUAAGAGGAGAGGAAAGUCCGGGCAACAUAGAGCAACACGCUUCCUAACGGGAAGGCUGUUAUGAAAAUAGCAGACAGAAAGUGCCACAGAAAAUAUACCGCUUUUCGGAGUAAGGGUGAAAACGUAAGGUAAGAGCUUACGGUCUUGUAUGGUGACAUAUAUUACGGUAAACCUCGUGUGUUGAAAGACCAAAUAGGUUGCGAAAUUC